rnacentral:rRNA from 1 species
UGUAGGAUAGAGGCCUACCAUGGUGGUAACGGGUAACGGGGUGUUAGGGCACGACACCGGAGAGGGAGCCUGAGAAACGGCUACCACAUCCAAGGAUGGCAGCAGGCGCGCAAAUUACCCAAUCCCGACACGGGGAGGUAGUGACAAUAAAUAACAAUACGGGGUUCUUUAGGAUCUCGUAAUUGGAAUGAGUACAAUUUAAAUCUCUUAACGAGGAACAAUUGGAGGGCAAGUCUGGUGCCAGCAGCCGCGGUAAUUCCAGCUCCAAUAGCGUAUAUUAAAGUUGUUGCAGUUAAAAAGCUCGUAGUUGAAUUUCGGGGUUAGUAGGUUGGUCAUGCCUCUGGUAUGUACUGGUCUCACUGAUUCCUCCUUCCUGAUGAACCUUAAUGCCAUUAAUUUGGUGUUUUGGGGAAUUUGGACUGUUACUUUGAAAAAAUUAGAGUGUUUAAAGCAAGCUAACGCUUGAAUACAUUAGCAUGGAAUAAUGAAAUAGGACGUUCGAUCCUAUUUUGUUGGUUUCUAGGAUUGACGUAAUGAUUAAUAGGGAUAGUUGGGGGCAUUAGUAUUCAAUUGUCAGAGGUGAAAUUCUUGGAUUUAUUGAAGACUAACUACUGCGAAAGCAUUUGCCAAGGAUGUUUUCAUUAAUCAAGAACGAAAGUUAGGGGAUCGAAGACGAUCAGAUACCGUCGUAGUCUUAACCAUAGACUAUGCCGACUAGGGAUCGGAUGAUGUUAAUUUUUUAAUGACUCAUUCGGCGCGUUACGGAAACCA